CAGCCGCCACGGUAAUACAGAGGGUGCGAGCGUUAAUCGGAAUUACUGGGCGUAAAGCGCGCGUAGACGGUUUGGUAAGUCAGAUGUGAAAUCCCUGGGCUCAACCUGGGAACUGCAUUUGAUACUGCCUGGCUAGAGUAUCGAAGAGGGAAGUGGAAUUUCCGGUGUAGCGGUGAAAUGCGUAGAUAUCGGAAGGAACACCAGUGGCGAAAGCGACUUCCUGGUCGAAUACUGACGUUCAUGUGCGAAAGCGUGGGGAGCAAACAGGAUUAGAUACCCCAGUAGUCCCUGUCUCUUAUAU
rnacentral:rRNA from 1 species